rnacentral:rRNA from 1 species
AUUGAACGCUGGCGGCAGGCCUAACACAUGCAAGUCGAACGAGUGGCGGACGGGUGAGUAAUGUCUGGGAAACUGCCCGAUGGAGGGGGAUAACUACUGGAAACGGUAGCUAAUACCGCAUACCAUCGGAUCUGCCCAGAUGGGAUUAGCUAGUUGGUGGGGUAAAGGCUCACCUAGGCGACGAUCCCUAGCUGGUCUGAGAGGAUGACCAGCCACACUGGGACUGAGACACGGCCCAGACUCCUACGGGAGGCAGCAGUGGGGAAUAUUGCACAAUGGGCGCAAGCCUGAUGCAGCCAUGCCGCGUGUAUGAAGAAGGCCUUCGGGUUGUAAAGUACUUUCGGCGGGGAGGCGUUACCCGCAGAAGAAGCACCGGCUAACUCCGUGCCAGCAGCCGCGGUAAUAC